AUUGAACACUGGCGGAAUGCUUUACACAUGCAAGUCGAACGGCAGCACGGACUUCGGUCUGGUGGCGAGUGGCGAACGGGUGAGUAACGUAUCGGAACGUGCCCAGUCGUGGGGGAUAACGUAGGGAAAAUUACGCUAAUACCGCAUACGAUCUAUGGAUGAAAGCGGGGGAUCGCAAGACCUCGCGCGAUUGGAGCGGCCGAUAUCAGAUUAGGUAGUUGGUGGGGUAAAGGCCCACCAAGCCAACGAUCUGUAGCUGGUCUGAGAGGACGACCAGCCACACUGGAACUGAGACACGGUCCAGACUCCUACGGGAGGCAGCAGUGGGGAAUUUUGGACAAUGGGCGAAAGCCUGAUCCAGCCAUUCCGCGUGCAGGAUGAAGGCCCUCGGGUUGUAAACUGCUUUUGUACAGAACGAAAAGGUUUCUACUAAUACUAGGAGCUCAUGACGGUACUGUAAGAAUAAGCACCGGCUAACUACGUGCCAGCCGCCGCCGUAA
rnacentral:rRNA from 1 species